GGCCCUAUCGUCUAGUGGUUAGGACGCCAGGUUUUCAUCCUGGCAACAGGGGUUCGAUUCCCCUUAGGGCUA
rnacentral:tRNA from 1 species